rnacentral:rRNA from 1 species
UACGGAGGGUGCAAGCGUUAAUCGGAAUUACUGGGCGUAAAGCGUGCGCAGGCGGUUUGUUAAGUCUGUUGUGAAAUCCCCGAGCUCAACUUGGGAAUUGCAAUGGAUACUGGCAGGCUGGAGUAUGGUAGAGGAAGGUGGAAUUCCCGGUGUAGUGGUGAAAUGCGUAGAGAUCGGGAGGAACACCAGUGGCGAAGGCGGCCUUCUGGACCAAUACUGACGCUCAUGCACGAAAGCGUGGGGAGCAAACAGG